rnacentral:rRNA from 1 species
GAUCCUGGCUCAGGAUGAACGCUAGCUACAGGCUUAACACAUGCAAGUCGAGGGGCAGCAUGAACUUAGCUUGCUAAGUUUGAUGGCGACCGGCGCACGGGUGAGUAACACGUAUCCAACCUGCCGAUGACUCGGGGGAUAGCCUUUCGAAAGAAAGAUUAAUACCGAUGGCAUAGUUCUUCCGCAUGGUAGAACUAUUAAAGAAUUUCGGUCAUCGAUGGGGAUGCGUUCCAUUAGGUUUGG